rnacentral:lncRNA from 1 species
AGAUGCUUUUCAGUGAUAGCUCCAGUGUUUAUUAUUUCAUACAACAUGGCCAGCGUUUUGGAAGACAAUAUCUUUGCAGAAAGGUAUUGUCUAACAGAAAAGGGUAAUGAGUGGAUCCAAACUGAUAAACGGCUUUGCCAUUGUGUAGUACGAUGAAAUAGUUCCCAGAAUAUGCUGCCCAAUAAACAUCUUUCUGCAAUGAAUAGUAGCAAGCAGAUCAUGUUAAAAAGCUGCGGUGAACUGCCACCAGUCUCUUGGAUCGCUUCAUUUGGAAAUAAGAGAAAUGUUUACAUUCUGCACAUGUAAAGACACAAAGCAAGGACUGCACUCAAAAAGUCUCUCUACGAAUAAUACGUUGCUGCUGUUUGAUUCCUGCUAUAAUCAGGGAAAGUAAAUCAGAAUGCAUGAUGGAUGCCUAGUUUCAGCAUGAAUUUCACUUCCUACCAGACAGCACUUCAGCUAACUCUUCAGAUCAGCAUGCAGGUGAUAUGGAAAUUUCCAGAUGGUGUGUUAGGACCACAUACUGCCCUGAAUCCAGGAUGUUGUUUAGAAAGGUGCUUUGGGCCUCUGCUUCAUGCCACGUUUCACCAGCUGACAUUUUAAAGCUGCUUUUUCACUACUCUGAGCUAAAUUUGCAAUACAUCGGUUUUUCUUCAGGAGAUUGGACACAUUAAAAACAAAAAUAAGGGUCAUUUGAGAUGCAGAGAUGUAGGCAUUAAUUUGAACCUAUGGAUUUGGACCUGUAUCUAUUUUCUGAUUUUUCUCUAAAAGAUUAAAGUGUUUAAAUCUUA